CCCGAGCGCAGCGGGACCGGGCCGGGGGCGGCGGGACCGGGCCGGGCCGGGCCGGGCCGGGCUCGGGGGCCUCAGCGCUGGGCAGCAAUGGCAAAGCCUCAGAGCAAGGAUUCCGGGCUGAAGGAGAAGUUCAGGAACCUCCUGGGGCUGGGAACAUCCCGGGGAAGUUCCAAGUCGUCGGAGGGCAAGCAGACAGAGUUCAUCAUCACUGCAGAAAUACUCAAGGAACUGAGCAUAGAGUGUGGAUUGAGUAACAGGAUACGAGCAAUCAGUCAAAUUUGUGAAGUGGCAAAAACCAAAAAAAUUGAAGAGCACGCCGUGGAGGCCGUGUGGAAGGUGGUGGCUGACAUGCUGCAGCCGGAGCGUCCCGCCGAGGCCAGGCACGCCGUGCUCCACCUGCUCAAGUCCAUCGUCCAGGGACAGGGUGAGAGGCUGGGGAUCCUCAGAGCCCACUUUUUUAAGGUUAUUAAGGAUUAUCCCUCCAAUGAAGAUGUGCACGAGCGGCUGGAAGUGUUCAAGGCUCUGACGGAGAACGGGCGCUACAUCACCUACCUGGAGGAGGAGCUGGCUGAUUUUGUGCUGCAGUGGAUGGAUGUUGGGCUGACUUCUGAGUUCCUCCUGGUUCUGGUGAACCUGGUGAAAUUCAAUAGCUGCUACCUGGAAGACUACGUAGCUGACAUGGUCCACAAGAUCUGCCUCUUGUGCAUUCAGACUUCAUCAUCUAUGGACAUAGAGAUUUCCUUGCAAGUGCUGGAUGCAGUUGUUUGUUACAACUGCCUGCCCUCGGAGAACCUGCCCGUGUUCAUCAUCACCCUGUGCCGCACCAUCAACGUCAAGGAGCUCUGUGAGCCCUGCUGGAAGCUCAUGCGCAACCUCUUGGGAACUCACCUGGGACACAGUGCCAUCUACAACAUGUGCAGGAUCAUGGAGGACAGGUCCUACAUGGCAGAUGCAGCCCUGCUGAGAGGAGCUGUGUUCUUUGUUGGGAUGGCUCUGUGGGGGGCUCAUCGCCUCAAUUCCCUCAGGAACUCCCCCACUUCAGUGCUGCCAUCAUUCCUCAAGGCCAUGACCUGUCCCAACGCAGUGGUGUCCUACGAGAUCGUUCUGUCCAUCACACGCCUGAUCAAGAAAUACGGCAAGGGGCUGCAGGCCGUGACCUGGGAUAUCCUCCUGGACAUCAUGGAGAGACUGCUGCAGCAGCUGCAGGUUCUGGAGAGCCAAGAACUGAAGUCCAUUGUUCAUGAUCUUUUGACCACAGUGGAAGAGCUCUGUGACCAGAAUGAUUUUCAUGGCUCUGAAGAGAGGUUUUUUGAGCUGGUGGAGAGAUGUGCUGAUCAGAGACCAGAAUCUUCUGUGUUAAACCUGAUAACAUACAGAGCUCAGUCCAUCCACCCUGCCAAAGAUGGCUGGAUCCACAACCUGCAGCUCCUAAUGGAGAGAUUCUUCAGGAACGAGAGCCGUAGUGCUGUUAGGAUUAAGGUUCUGGAUGUGCUGUCCUUUGUGCUGAGCAUCAACAGACAGUUCUAUGAGGAAGAGCUGAUAAACCUGGUGGUGAUCUCCCAGCUGGCUCACAUCCCAGAGGAUAAGGACCAUCAGGUCCGAAAAUUGGCCACUCAGCUGCUGGUGGACCUGGCUGAAGGCUGCAACACUCACCACUUCAACAGCCUGCUGGAUAUCAUAGAGAAGGUGGCUGCACAUUCUCUGUCAUCUCCCUCUGAACUGGAAGAGAGGGACCUGCUGUCAUAUUCAGCUUCUCUGGAGGAUGUCAAGACAGCAGUUCUUGGGCUCCUGAUAAUUCUUCAGACCAAGCUGUACAGUUUGCCCUCCAGCCACGCCACGCGCGUGUACGAGAUGCUGAUCCAGCACGUGCAGCGCCACUACAAGCACUCCUACAGCCUGCCCGUGGCCAGCAGCAUCAGGCUGCAGGUGUUUGAUUUCCUGCUGAUGCUCCGAGCUGACUCCCUGCACCGCCUGGGCCUUUCCAACAAGGAUGGAGCAGUGAGGUUCAGCCCCUACUGCCUCUGUGAUUUUGUAGAAGCAGAGAAAAGGGCUUCUGAGAAAAAGCCCCCUGGCACCCUGUCCCCACCUUCAGGCAGCCCCAGUGUGCCUUCCCAGGGUGCCACCGUCCGGGUGGGACACCUGCCCUACUCCAUGGUCUUUGGGGUCCUCCUGCAGUGUUUGAAGCAGGAGACAGACUGGAAGGUGCUGAAGUUGGUUCUCAACAAGUUACCCGAGUCCCUCCGCUAUAAAGUGCUAUUUUUAACUUCUCCCUGCAACAUCGACCAGCUGGCCUCUGCACUGAGCAACAUGCUCACAGACAAGAAGACCACGGACAGGCUCCACGGGACCCCCGAAGGCUUUUCCCGCACAGAUUUGCACCUGGCUGUGGUCCCCGUGCUGACAGCACUGAUUUCUUACCACAACUACCUGGACAAAGCCAAGCAGCGAGAGAUCGUGUACUGCCUGGAGCACGGGCUCAUCUACCGCUGCGCCAACCAGUGCGUGGUGGCACUGUCAGUCUGCAGCGUGGAGAUGCCCGACAUCAUCAUCAAGGCACUGCCCGUCCUGAUUGUCAAACUCACCCACAUUUCUGCCACGGCCAACAUGGCAAUCCCUCUGCUGGAGUUUCUGUCAACUCUGGCCAGGCUGCCUCACCUGUACCGGAACUUCGCGGCAGAGCAGUACGCCAGCGUCUUCGCCAUCUCCCUGCCCUACACAAACCCCUCCAAGUUUAACCAGUACAUCGUUUGCCUGGCCCACCACGUGAUCGCCAUGUGGUUCAUCCGCUGCCGCCUGCCCUUCCGCAAGGACUUUGUCCCCUACAUCACCAAGGGCCUGCGCUCCAACGUGCUCCUGUCCUUCGAUGACACCCCAGAGAAGGACAGCUUCAGGGCUCGCAGCACCAGCCUGAAUGAGAGGCCAAAGAGUAGUUUAAGACUAGCCAAAAAUGCAAAGCAAGGCUUGAAUAACUCUCCUCCAGUGAAAGAGCUGAAAGAACCCUCUGCAGUUGAUGCCUUCCGAUCCCGCAGCAUCAGUGUGUCUGAACAUGUGGUCCGCAGCCGCAUCCAAACGUCCAUCACCAGCUCGAGCCUGGGCUCCGCAGAUGAAAACUCCAUGGCUCAGGCUGAUGACAACUUGAAAAACCUGCACCUGGAGCUGACAGAGACCUGCCUGGACAUGAUGGCUCGCUACGUCUUCUCCAACUUCACCGCUGUGCCCAAGAGGUCCCCCGUGGGGGAGUUUCUGCUGGCUGGAGGAAGGACCAAGACGUGGCUGGUUGGUAACAAGCUGGUGACCAUCACUACAAGUGUUGGAACAGGGACAAGGUCCCUGCUUGGCCUGGACUCUGGAGAAUUCCAGAGCACCCCAGAAUCAAGCUCAGACCCUGUUUUGCAAGUGAGACAGACCAAGGAGGCUCCAGCCAAGCUGGAAUCCCAGGCUGGGCAGCAGGUUUGCAGGAGCUCCCGCAACAGAGUCCGGUCCAUGUCGGGAGGUCAUGCCUUACGUGUUGGUGCCUUAGACAGCUCAGCCUCCCAUUUUCCCAGUGGCUCAACUUCCCAAGGGACACAGGGCCCUCCUGCUGCUGCAGCCCGCCCAGAGAAGGCCAGUCCUGCUCCACAGACAGCCCUGCAGAAGGAGAAAGCCAACUUGGCUGCCUACGUGCCACUGCUGACCCAGGGCUGGGCAGAGAUCCUGGUGCGCAGGCCCACAGGCAACACGAGCUGGCUGAUGAGCCUGGAGAACCCGCUGAGCCCCUUCUCCUCAGACAUCAACAACAUGCCCCUGCAGGAGCUCUCCAACGCCCUGAUGGCCGCAGAGCGCUUCAAGGAGCACCGGGAGACGGCUCUGUACAAAUCCCUGUCCGUGCCCUCCUCCAGCCUGGCCACGGGCACGGCCAAGCCCUCGCUGCUGCAGCGCUCCAACACAGUGGCCUCUUUCUCUUCCAUGUACCAGUCCAGUUGUCAAGGGAAGUUGCACAGGAGCAUAUCCUGGGCAGAGUCCGCCGUGGUGCUGGAGGAGGGCAGCGCGGGCGACACGGAGCUCAGGGAGGCCGAGUCCCCCGCCGAGUCCCCCGAGAGCGAGGACGUGGAGACCUCGUGUUCCGAGCACGUCCUGAGCGAGGAGAGGUUUGGAAAAGCGCAGGACUCGUACAGCAGGUCCUCCUCCACGUCCAGCCAGGAGGACAAGUCGCUGAAGUCGGAGGAGCUGUCGGAGGGCGGGAUCCCCAUCGGGCGGGAGGAGGGCCGGGCGCUGGAGGAGCUCUCCUUCCAGCCCUCGCAGCCCCUCAGCAAGUCCAGCUCCUCGCCGGAGCUGCAGACGCUGCAGGAGGUGCUCAAGGACGCCAACGGGCGGGAGGUGCCGCGGAGGCUGAGCACCGAAGUGAAAUCCAAAUCCCAGUCGGGGAACCUGGAAGGGGAAGGGCUGGGCGGCUGGCUGGGCAGGGGGGAGGACAGCAGGGCCGCCGGGCAGGGCGGUGGCACCGCAGCUGUCACCUCGCCCCGCUCGCCCUCGGGCCACCGGCCACGGGGCUACACCAUCUCCGAUUCCGCCCCGUCCAGGAGGGGCAAGAGGAUCGACAGAGACGCGUUCAAGGGCAGGGCAGCAGCGUCCAACGCCGAGAAAGUCCCUGGGAUAAACCCCAGCUUUGUGUUUCUACAGUUGUACCACUCCCCCUUCUUUGGUGAUGAAAACAACAAACCCCUCUUGUUGCCAAAUGAGACGUUUGAGAGGUCGGUGCAGCUCCUGGAUCAGAUCCCGUCCUAUGACACACACAAGAUUGCAGUGCUCUACGUUGGGGAGGGCCAGAGCAACAACGAGAUUGCCAUCCUGUCCAACGAGCACGGCUCCUACCGCUACACCGAGUUCCUCACGGGGCUGGGCAAGCUCAUCGAGCUCAAGGACUGCCAGCCAGACAAGAUCUACCUGGGUGGCCUGGACGUGUGCGGGGAGGAUGGGCAGUUCACCUACUGCUGGCACGAUGACAUCAUGCAGGCCAUUUUCCACAUUGCUACUCUGAUGCCCACGAAGGAUUUGGAUAAAUACCGCUGUGACAAGAAGAGGCACCUGGGGAAUGAUUUUGUUUCCAUUGUUUACAAUGAUUCUGGAGAGGAUUUUAAACUGGGCACAAUAAAGGGGCAGUUCAAUUUUGUGCAUGUGAUCAUCACCCCCCUGGACUACGACUGUAACCUGGUGACGCUGCAGUGCCGGAAAGACAUGGAGGGCCUGGUGGACACGAGUGUUGCCAAGAUCAUCUCUGACAAGAACCUGCCCUUCGUGGCCCGUCAGAUGGCCCUGCACGCCAAUGUGAGUACCUGCACCUCCCUGAGCUUCCAGCUGCUGCCUUGGCCCAUCACCAGCUUCCAAGGAAACAGGCAGGGCCUGCUAAAGCAAAGAAACAACUUUUCUACUUGGCCUUGAAGCCAGAGUCAGCACCUGAACAAUCCUAACUUGGAGCUGGAUUGCAGUUGCUGUCAGACUGCUCUGAAAAUUUUAUUGAUUAUUUUAUUGUUGUGGUUAUGUUAAUGUGGCUCCUCUCUUUCCCUGCUUCUCCCCACCCUUCCCAACCCAGAUGGCUUCCCAGGUCCACCACAGCAGAUCCAACCCCACGGACACCUACCCCUCCAAAUGGAUCGCGAGGCUGCGCCACAUCAAGAGGCUGCGGCACCGGCUCCGUGAAGAGACACAGUACCAGAGCCCCGGCCUUCCCCUGCAGCUGCACCCCUCUGCUCCCACAAAACCCCCUCCCCAGAUCCCCCAGGACCCCCCUCCCACCUACGAGACGGGGCAGAGGAAGAGGCUGAUCUCCUCCGUGGACGACUUCACCGAGUUUGUGUAGGGCCGGGCUCGGGGUGUCCCUGCAGGGACACUGAGGCCAUGGAGUCGUGUUCCCUGCCUGCUGAUCCCUGCACCUGCAUGGACACAGGGAUUGGGAGGCGCAGCCUGGCUGCUCCUUGCAUGUGGACUUGGCACUGAACCUGCCAGGAGCUUUGGGUGCCCCUGAGGACAACACUGGAUUCCCAGCAGAAGCUCCCAGAGGACCAGGCCACUGUGUUUGGUUUGAUUUGAACUGUUCCAAAGCUUUUGUGCAGGGAAAUUCUCUGCAGAACCUUUCUUUGGACUCCUUCCACACCAGGUCCUGGUGGAAGCAGACAAAGGAUGAUAUUCUGCAAAUCCUCACGUGAAGGUACAGGAAUUGUGGGAUUUUUGAGGACUUUACUGGGAAUGAAAUAUGAACUAUUGAAAAUCCAGUUGCUCUUUCUGAGCACCCCAGAAUCCCAGCUCCUCCCUGAACCUCGGGGCUGUCAGCACUUAAACUCUUCAGGCUCUGACUCAUUCUGCUGCCAGCUUUGGAAAGAGUUAAUUUGGGUUCUCUCCUGCCCAAAAUGUUGCUUUAGUUCCCAAGGUUUGUCUUCAUUUUGGCCAUCUGCAGGAUUUCCCUGGUUGCAGGAAUGCUGGGGUGUCUCACCCUCCCCCAUGCACCUGAUAAAUCUCUUUUUGACUGAACACAAGUCUUGGGGCACCAUCUCCCCACGAGUUUUGCCCAUUCCCUGACAGGAGGCUCUCAGGGGAGACUGAAGCAGUUCAGCUGGAGCUUCCAGGGCAGGUGGGCACAGCUGGAAUGGGACUUGCAGCCCGUCCUGAGGCAAGGAGGGCACCAGACACUACACCACCCGACUGGGAGGCACCUCAUAAGCUGGACUAUACUGUGAGAACUUUAUCUCCCGCUUGCUCUGUGAGGGGGAAGCGUGGCUUUGGGAACGGCUGCCGGCAGGGAGAUGAAGACAAGUGCAAUAUGCACAAUGUGGGACUGUGAAGGGAUGAAGGGACAGGUGAGGGGACAGAGGGCCAGCCCUCGCCUGUGCAGGUGUGUGGGAACACCAAGCGUCCGUUGUGUUUGAGUGUUUAUGAGUCAUACAGCAAAUAAAAUAUUUGUCUGAUCA